CACCGGCGGCUCGAGUGGUGGCCACUUUUAUUGGGUCUAAAGCGUCCGUAGCCGGCUUGGCAAGUCCCCUGAGAAAUCUGGCGGCUUAACCGUCAGGCGUCCAGAGGAUACUGCCAGGCUUGGGACCGGGAGAGGUGAGAGGUACCUCAGGGGUAGGGGUGAAAUCUUGUGAUCCCUGAGGGACCACCAGUGGCGAAGGCGUCUCACUAGAACGGGUCCGACGGUCAGGGACGAAAGCUGGGGGCACGAACCGG
rnacentral:rRNA from 1 species